CGUUGAAACCCCGGUUUCCGUAUGAUCACCGAAGUUAAGCAAAGUCGAGCCUGAUCAGUACUUGAUGCCUGAACGCUUGGGUAGACCAGGUGCUU